rnacentral:rRNA from 1 species
AGCUACCGCUAUUGGAGUUCGAUUAAGCCAUGCGAGUCGAGAGUCCUCGGGACUCGGCGUACCGCUCAGUAACACGUGGGUAACCUGCCCUAUGCUGGGGAAUAACCUCGGGAAACUGAGAAUAAUGCCCCAUAGCCCACUACGCCUGGAACGGUGAGUGGGUCAAAGCCCCGGCGGCAUAGGAUGGGCCUGCGCCGUAUCAGGUUGUAGGGGGUGUAAAGUACCCUCUAGCCAUCAACGCGUACGGGUGUUGGGAGACAUUGCCCGGAGAUGGAUUCUGAGACACGAAUCCAGACCCUACGGGGUGCAGCAGGCGCGAAAACUUGGCAAUGCGAGAAAUCGUGACCAGGGAACUCCAAGUGCGUAGGGUAAGACCUACGCUUUUCUUGACUCUUCAAAGGUCUUGGAAUAAGGGGUGGGUAAGGACGGUGCCAGCCGCCGCGGUAAUACCGGCGCCUCAAGUGGUAGUCGCUUUUAUUGGGCCUAAAACGUCCGUAGCCGGUCUGGUGCAUUCGUGGGUAAAUCAACCCGCUCAACGGGUUGAAUUCUGCGAGCACGGCCAGACUUGGGACCGGGAGAGGUGUGGGGUACUCUCAGGGUAGGGGUAAAAUCCUGUCAUCCUGAGAGGACCACCUGUUGCGAAGGCGCCACACUAGAACGGAUCCGACGGUCAGGGACGAAACCUAGGGGCACGAACCGGAUUAGAUACCCGGGUAGUCCUAGGUGUAAACACUGUGGACUUGAUGUUGGGGGCGCUCCGAGCGCUCUCAGUGUCGAAGCGAAGGUGAUAAGUCCACUGCCUGGGGAGUACGGUCGCAAGGCUGAAACUUAAAGGAAUUGGCGGGGGAGCACUGCAACCUGAGGAUUGUGCGGUUU